GCAGACACAUUCCAGCCAAUCAGCAGCAGACCCUCCCUCCCAGACCCUCCCACCUCCUGGACAGCUCACUAAGAAUGCAGCUUCACAAUGGAUGCUGUCCAGGAGUUGGGAAGGUCUGGGAGGGAGGGUCUGCUGCUGAUUGGAUGGAAUGUGUCUG
rnacentral:miRNA from 1 species